rnacentral:rRNA from 1 species
UACGUAGGUGGCAAGCGUUGUCCGGAAUUAUUGGGCGUAAAGCGCGCGCAGGCGGUCAUUUAAGUCUGGUGUUUAAGCCCGGGGCUCAACCCCGGUUCGCAUCGGAAACUGGAUGACUUGAGUGUAGGAGAGGGAAGUGGAAUUCCACGUGUAGCGGUGAAAUGCGUAGAGAUGUGGAGGAACACCAGUGGCGAAGGCGACUUUCUGGCCUAUAACUGACGCUGAGGCGCGAAAGCGUGGGGAGCAAACAGG